UGGCGAGAGAGAGAGAUCUUAGAAGAGAGAGAGAGAGAGAGAGAGAGAGAGAGAGAGAGAGAGAGAGAGAGAGAGAGAGAGAGAGAGAGAGAGAGAGAGAGAGAGAGAGACAGAGAGAGAGAGAGAGAGAGAGAGAGAGACUACAGCCUUUGAUGCAGACACAUUGUGAAGGAAGAGAUGCCCUCAGGAAACAGGCAUGUCUGCGUACGGCAUCCCCGACCUGGAACUCUUUUGCUAGCUUUGCUAAGCUAACUAGCCAAUGGCAGUAGCCCUGAAGCUGGUAGCUGCUGCUAGCCUAUGCUAGCCUCUGCUAUGUGCUGUCUUGUAAUUUUACCAUAAUAACCUCUUAUAAUGAAUCCACGGGGCUCUCAGGUUGGGGUUAAUGCUAAUCGUGAUAGGGGGUUGUUCUCUCCAAGACGCCUAGCAUGCUAGCAUUAUCCUCACUCUGAGAAACAACUACAGAUUCAAGAUUCAAGAUAAUUUAUUGUCAUUUCAGCCAUAUACACAGUAUACAGUGAAAUGAAAUAGCGUUUCCCAAGAACAUAAGGUGCAACAUAGAGCGACAAUAAUAACAUUAGAUACCGACUGUUCAAAAUAACUAGCAAUAACAUCUUACUUUAUACAAGUAUUACAAAUAUAAUUUUAAACAUGUAACUCUUAUUUUUUGUUCUUGUUUUUUUGUUUUUGUUUGUUCUUUGUAAUUGGCCUACCUAUUUAUAGAUAUUUAAUGCUUACAUUUUAUUGGUCUACAUCUGCUUCAACACUGCACUUAAAUGUGUACGUUUAUAUAUUUUUGGAGGCCAAAUUAUUAUUUCCUUUAUUAUUAUAUUUUGUUUCUCCCAAAUUAAGGUGACCAGAUUUCUGUUUGGCAGAAUAACAAUAUUUGGUUGAUAGAUUAAACAAAAACUAUUGUUAUUGUAUGUUAUUCUAUUUUAUUUAUUAUUGUUUCUGAAAUGGAAAGGGUGGUCUUAUCAAAUAAAAUACAUAUUUUGGCAGUUGCCUACAUGGGUUAAUAUUGUGUGUGUUAAGCUUUGGGAAACCAACCAAAGAAAAAAACAAAGCUACUCGAACAGGGAAUUAUUCUAUAUUGUAUUGAUAAUCUAUUGUUAAUAUUCAGCCAUGCCUGCUUAUGGUAAAGUCGAUAGAUAUACCCCUGACAGAUAGAUCUGUCACAGCUUAUCAGAUAGGCUACAUGCACCGUCUCAAUAUUAAUAUUCAUGAG
ensembl:lncRNA